AGCUGAAGCUGAAGCUGUAUUGGGAGAUGGAGGACAAAAUCUGAGGAUACGAGGUAGACAUAUCAAGAAAAGAGCCCUCAAGAACAAAGCCCUAACUGUUUCUUUCGAUGAAAAAGACCUCAAGGAUUUUGUUACUGGGUUUCAUAAGAGAAAGAAGAAGAGAAGAAAAGAUGCCCAAGUUCAAUUGGAACAAGCCCUACGGAGAAAACGUAUUGAGGCUCGUAAAAAGAGAAAGGAGGAGAGAGAGUUUGCCAUCUUUGGUGGAGCAGCGCCUGAUUCAGCUGCUGUAACUGAUGAGCCCGAUGAGGACCUCGACGUCGAAGAGGAAAAUGAGCCUAAUGCAACAGUUUCAGGGACUACGACAUAUGACAAUGGCGAUGUGCAAGUCAUCGUGACAACAAGUGAGAUCUCUCGUGAAGAAGAAGAAUCCCCAGCUCAAGUGCCACCACCAUCAGCAAUAGUUAAACAUGCUAUAGAAAGUAAAAACAGCAAACAAAACAUUCCGGUAAGCAAGAAGAAACCAUUCAAGAAAUCUGCGAAAAAGAGAUCUCGGCCCAAGCCACAGAGCAAGAGAGAUAAGAGGAAAGGUAAAAAGAAGAACAAGAAGCAGCAGCAGUAGCAUUGUUAUUUCUUUAACCUUAGCACCUCCCCCUUCAUAUGAAAAAAAGAGAGAAAAAAAUGUUUCAUCCGUGGCGUGGCGCCUAUUUUAUUUAUCGCGGAUAUUUUAGCAUAUAGUAUUUUAAUUUAUUUACUAAGGUUUGUUCACA
rnacentral:misc_RNA from 1 species